rnacentral:lncRNA from 1 species
GCUGACCAUGGAGUCCUGGGCUUCUUUGUGGAGGGGUGAGAACAGAACUGGCUGUGCUGCCACCGGGGCGCGGCACCUGGAAAGUGCUUUUAAGUUCCUGUCUCUGGGAGUCGUGAAUCUCUCCGGACUGCAGCCUGAGGUCCUGGCGCUUAAGCUCCACGAGCGCCGCCGCAGCGUGUUUGGCUUGAGGUUUCUAAACCUAAAAAGAUCCCUGACUGGAGUAGCCCUUGGGUUGUGCUGCUGCCCCUCCUCCUCACAGGCAGCUGCACGUGGGCUGCUCGGACACAAACUGCAGCUUAGGUACACGUUCCUUGGAUUCUCCUGUAGCCUUUUGGAAAGGGAAGGAGCACUUACUAAAUUCACUGGGAAGUGACAGAGAGCCUUUCCUUGGCCAGGUUGGACAGGUGCUUCUGCCCUCUUCUCAACUAGUUCUCAACCUUGGCCUCUAAAGACUUAGGCACUAAGACGGUUUUGAACAUCAAGUUGGCAUCGCUAGGAUGACUCCAGCUCCACUUAGAAUGCCCUGCCUGACAAAGCUCAAGGUGCCAAGAGAAUUUAGCAUUUGUUCAGCCAACACCAGAAGAGAGUCUCUGCUCCUCAAUGUCUCUAGGAGAGGAGGAGCCUAACUUCCAUAAACUCUGCUUAGUGUCCCCAGGGAGUUCCCAGGCCAGCGAUGGAACCCAUGUCACAGCAGGGACAAUGCUGUGUCCUUAACCUACUGAGCCCCAGAGGAACUCCUGUAGAGAAGUGUUUUCAUAGUCAAUGGACUGACUACCCAGCUGUGGAGUGGGGAACACAGACCUGGUUCCUGUCUUCAAGCAACUUAGAAUCUAAUCUGCAGACAAAACACGGAUUCAUCCAAAAGCAACCCCCGACGAUGUUGUGGAGGCCGGUGGGAGUGAGAAGACCAAGGAGGAGGCCCUGGCUGGGGAAACUGAGGAGGAGAUGGGGCUGGGGACUGUGAAGGCGGAGGAGGAGGAGGAAAAGGAGGAAGCUGCAGCCAUAGACAAGGCGGAGGAGGAGGCGGGCCCGGCCCAUGAAAAUGACAAGGAGGAGUCGCCAGCCAGCGACCGGGCUGAGCAGGAAGACAAGCCUGCCCCCAAGGUGGACGGGACGGACGAUGAAAGCUUGUGGAGCAUUGUGAGUCUGUGUGGCAGCAACCACGAAGAAAGUGAUACAGACUUGGUGGCGGAGAGCACCGACUGCCGCCAGGAUGAGGAGGCUGCAGAAUCUUGCUUUGGGAGGAAAGGAUCUUGCUGCAGGAGUCUGAGGAUAUGUUUGUCCUCUGCGAGCUUGGCUAGAAUAAUUCCCCGGUGGCCACACAACAGGGUGCACCUUGCCACUGAGCCAGACAAAGAUACUGUGGAACCUGACUCAGUACAUUCAGGCAUGAACAAUGAUUCUAGUUCAUUCAAUGUUCCAAAUUUCAGAACAAACUCUACCCAUGCUGCUGCAUGAUGCAAAUUCAAAUGAGUUAACUCGGAGUUCCCAUCAAGGCGCAGUGGUUAACGAAUCCGACUAGGAACCAUGAGGUUGCGAGUUCAAUCUCUGGCCUUGCUCGGUGGGUUAAGGAUCCGGGGUUGCCGUGAGCUGUGGUGUAAGUCGCAGAUGCGGUUCGGAUCCUGAGUUGCAGCGGCCGUGGCGUAGGCCAGCAGCUACAACUCUGAUUAGACCCCUAUCCUGGGAACCUCCAUAUGCCAGGGGAAGCGGGCCUAGAAAAGGCAAAAUGACCAAAAACCAACUAACCAAACAAAAACCAAAUUGAAUAACUCGGUAAUUUCACAACCAUGGAAAUAAGGAUUCAUUUAAACUCAACAUUUGGUUCCUGGUUAAUAGCAAAGAUGACCUCACUCAUGUUCUUUGCUGCUAUUUGACGUUUCUAGUUGUACUAGAUCCCUCCAUGGGACCACAUUUCCUAAUUUGAAAACAAUACUAGACGUGAUUUAGAACAAGAUCAUAAUAUUAACAAGACAUGGUGAGCAGAUAUUAGGGAAAGCUCCCCUAACCCAUUCCUCCAGUUUCCACCAUUGACAACGUCCAGCACUGAAUGGGGAACGUGUGGUACACUGAGCGGCAAAAGGUUCAUAUAAUUUUAAUUAAUGAAAAGUUCCCCGUUUACAUUCAGAUUCAUUUUUUGUGUUGUGACCUUAGUUGAGGUUGGACACACGCACAAUAUUAGGAGUCCCCAGGAUGUUACUAUAGAGAACGUGUACAUUCCCAUUUGUAGCAGCGGGUUAUUCCCGACAGCCAAAAGGUGAAACCAAUCCCAAGGGACAAGAAGAGAUCAGGGGAGAGAUCAAAUGCGAUAUGUACCCAGAAGAGAACAGUGUUGUACCAGAAACAAAAUUAAACUAUUAAAUAGGGUAUCACAUGGAAGAUCCAAAAUAAAACACUGUUUAACAUAAGUGAGGAGCUCCCAUCGUGAUGCGGCAGAAGUGAAUCCAACUAGGAAGCAUGAGAUUGUGGAUUCGAUCCCUGGCCUCGCUCAGUGGAGUAAGGAUCCGGUGAUGCCGGGACCUGUGCUGUAGAUCGCAGAUGUGCCUGGGAUCCUGCCUUGCUGUGGCUCUGGCAUGCGGCGGCAGCUACAGCUCCGAUGAGACCCCUAGCCUGGGAACCUCCAUAUGC